CCCGGGCGACCGGCGCACGGGUGAGUAACACGUAUGCAACCUGGCCGUGACAGAUGGAUAACCGGGAGAAAUCCCGCCUAAUACAACAUAAUGCCGGGAGGGGACAUCCCCUGCCGGCCAAAGGGGGCGACCCCGGUCACGGAUGGGCAUGCGGCGCAUUAGGUAGUUGGUGGGGCAACGGCCCACCAAGCCGACGAUGCGUAGGGGUUCUGAGAGGAAGGUCCCCCACAUUGGUACUGAGACACGGACCAAACUCCUACGGAAGGCAGCAG
rnacentral:rRNA from 1 species